ACGUGAGCAACCUGCCCCUGUAUGGGGGAUAACCCUGGGAAACCGGGGCUAAUACCGCAUGCGCUCUGAGAGCUCCUGGCUCUUUGAGGAAAGUCCCUGAAAGGGGAUGUGCAGGGAGGGGCUCGCGGCGUAUCAGCUAGUUGGUGGGGUAACGGCUCACCAAGGCGACGACGCGUAGCCGGUCUGAGAGGACGACCGGCCACAUUGGGACUGAGAUACGGCCCAGACUCCUACGGGAGGCAGCAGUGGGGAAUCUUGCGCAAUGGGCGAAAGCCUGACGCAGCGACGCCGCGUGGGGGAGGAAGCUUUUCGGAGUGUAAACCCCUGUCAGGAGGGAAGAACGGUCCAAGGAGGAAAUGCCCCUGCGAUUUGACGGUACCUCCAAGANGAAGCACCGGCUAACUCUGUGCCAGCAGCCGCGGUAUACA
rnacentral:rRNA from 1 species